UUUGCUUAACCUCGGGUUGUGAGGACGAUUAAUAUUAGGUUAGGCAAUUGUUUUUUCCUAGUCUCUAGGUGCUUUAAUCCUCUCGGGAGAAGAGGGUUAUGUUAUGAUCUCCACUGUAAUAUCUUUAGCUUUUUGCUUAUUUAUAUACAAACAAAAUUUAGCAAAAAAAAAAUAUAUAUAUAUAUAUAUAUAGAGAGAGAGAGGGGGAGAUCCAGUCAGGAUCAUACUCUUUCCACGAAUUAUUACGCAGUGAAGAAGAUGGUCAAGGGGUUAAAUAUGGGGUAUUAGAAAAUUGAUGAUGUUGGAAGAAUGCAUAUCUUGAUUUGAUGUUUAAAGUAAAUGCUCAUGAUUAUAUGUAAAGUCCUUAAAGGAAUAUGUGUACAAGGACUUAGUAAUAGAUCAAAUUUGUUAGGUUGAUCUUAGCUUUUGGUGUUCAUCUUUCUAUAAACGAAUGUAUAGAUAAAGAGAUCAAAGAUAUUAGGUUGAUCUAUGACUUGAAAAGUAUAGAUAGGCUUCAACAAGAAUCGUAGUCUAUCAAGCUCAUCAACAGAUUGCAGAAGCCAAGGCAGGAUCGUAGAGUUUAGAAGAUCGUAGUGUAUCUGCCUUGAAGGACCUCUUCUGAAAUCGUAGAGUGGUCCAGACAUUUGCUGAAGCUAACUCAGAGAUCGUAGUGUGCAAAGAUCGUAGUGUGAAAACCCUUAAAAGAAAUCGUAGUGUUCUAUUCAGACCAAGCACAAAUAUGUCAAGACACCGCGAUAUGAAUCGUAGAGUAUCAUCUGUCUUGUGUCAGAAGCAUCGAGCCCUAUCUUUUGUUUGGAGAUAAAUUCCAACAAAUGUGGAAUGGGUUAUGAACGUUGAAGCACUCACCAGUCCCAAUGGUACAAAAUAUAUCCUUAGUAUUCAUCAAAAGGAAUGUAUUCAAGAAGCUAAGAAAAGGACCAUUGGACAGAGAAAAACACCUUUUCAGGUGUUAGGUGAGAAAACAGUCUGCUGUGUCAGUGGGCCAGACUACAAUUCAGAAGAUGUGCAGAAAAGUCUCCAUCAAAGCUCAGAAAUGUCAAACACAUUUAAUGCCUCAUCAAAUGACUUCAACGAAUAGAUUUUAAAGAUCACAUAUAUACAGAACACAGAAAGAUGAGAGUGUAAGCAAGCAUUGAACAAAACGCACAAGAACACUCAACGCUCAACUCUACGAUCAGAGAAAAGGAGGAAGCUUGCUCAGCUACUCAGUUCUUUCGAACAAGUGCUUAAUUCCAACUGAGUAGCCUCAAUCACGAUCUCAACAAUAACUAAUCAACUAAAGUAAGAGUUCCAAGUCUGAAGGACUUGAAGAGUUCUAAGUGAACUGUGAAGAACCAAGUCUGCUGGACUUGAAGAGUUCAAGAGUGAACUAAGAAGUGCCUAGACUGCUGGUCUAGAAGGAAUCUGUGAGAUUUAGAAAGUGUAAAAGACAUCCUUAGUGGAUUUCCUACUCGAGGAGUAGAAGAGUGGACUAGGAGCCUUCAGUGCUCUGAACCACUUAAAAACAACUGUGUCUAUUUUAUUCUUGCCAUAACUGCUAUAACUGUCAUAACUGCCUCACUUUCAUUAACUCACUAUCUAAAGGGGAUUUCAAAGAAACCAUAAUUCCGAUGUGCUUAAGAUCUUUAUCAAAACGGACUUAAUACAAAGAAAAGUUUUUAAUAUCUAUUCAACCGCCCCUUCUAGAUAAUUAUUGUGCCUCCGGGAACUAACAAUUGGUAUCAGAGCAGGUUCUAUUAUAUAGCCUACAAAGCUUGAGUAGAUCCAAUGGCACACUUACCAAGCGAAUCAAAGACUGGAGGAGGCAGCAAGCCACCUAUGUGCAACAAAGACAAAUUCGCUAAAUGGAAGGUUAGGAUGCAAGCUUAUAUGGAUUCAAUAGAUGAAGAUCUAUUUGAAACUGUUCAAAAUGGGCCCUACAUUCCUACAAAGCUUGCACCAACUACAGACGACCCAAACAGAAUACAGAUCAAGGUCAAAGAAGAAUGGAUAGAAAAUGAGAAGAGAGUUGUCCAGCUUGAUAAAAAGGCCAAGAACAUCUUAUUUCAAUCCCUAGAAGAUGAUCUAUUUGAAAACGUGGUUAACUGCAAAACAGCAAAGGAGGUUUGGGAAGCAUUACUUAUCAUGCAUGAAGGAACAGAAGAAGUCAUUGAAAACAAACAAUCUCUCUUGACUCAGCAAUAUGAGAUGUUUGCUCACGUUCAAGGAGAAAACGUCACUGCCACAUACGAGAGAUUUAAUAUUCUGCUCAACUCUCUGCGAGCCUAUGGAAAGAUCUAUCCAAACAAAGAUCUAAUCAUAAAAUUCAUGAGAGCCUUACCAAGCAAGUGGGAUGCCAAAACCACUGCCAUUAGAGAGUCAAAGAAUGUACAUGAAAUGACUGUUCAACAUCUAUAUGGCAACCUCCUUACAUACGAACUAGAACUGGAACUGACACAACGAGCAGAAAAGUUAUCCGAAAGAAGAAAGAAGGACAAAGGUGUUGCUCUCAAAGUAACUGAAAACACCUCCAAAGUCAACACUGAAGUUGAUUCUGACUACGAUAAAGAUGAUGAUGAGGACUUUGCAGUGCUGAUGAAAAGACUAAGAAGGUUCAUGCGAUAAGGCAAAACUAGCAAGCCAAAGAAAGUCAGCAACUACAGCAGCCAGGAGCAAAUGAAUGACCUAUGCAACAAUUGCAAGAAACCUGGCCACUUCAUUGCCAACUGCAACAAACCUCUUAGAGAAGAACUCAAGAAGAAAUCACAUGCAAAGAAGGAAUACAAAGACAACAAAAGGCCACAGAAGAAAGACAAAUGCCUUGUAGCUGGAGGAUCGUGGAGUGACUCAGACAAUGACUCAACUCCGGAAUCUGGAGAUGAUGAAGAUCCUUAAAUGGAAAAUCUCUGCCUAAUGGCCAAAAAUGCAAGGGACAAACAGAACUCGAACAUACAUGAAGUAAGUAUCGAUGAGGUAUUUGACUUCAACUCUCCUGAUGUAGAUAUUGAUGAUCUUAGAACUGCAUUACAUGGCAUAACAUCUGAUCUGCACCAAUACAUGAAGUGGUUUAGAGUUCUGUCUAAAGAUUAUUCAUUUCUUAAAAAGGAGAAAAAAAAAGUUCAAGAAGAACUGGAAACAACCCUUCUCAGUACUGAUUCUCUCUCCAAGUUUGAAGCUAAGAAUAAGCUCUUGAGACAAGCAAAUGAGCUCAGUGCACAAAGAGAGUCUAGUCUAACCUCCAAGAUUGAGGAUCUAGAAAAGACAGUCUCUACAUGGAACAAAUCCUCUUCAUCCAUGGGCUCCUUAAUCUCUAACCAGAGAAGUGUCUCUGAUAGAACAGGGUUGGGCUUUGGGGAAUCUACCUCAGAGUCAUGUGUGGAAAAAGCCAAGGAAAUUAGCACUGGUAAUGCCUCAGGUUUUAGUAGAGGCAUUAUAUUUGUGAAAUCCUCACAGAAGGAUGAGCCUGUCAAACCCUGCUCAGCUGAUUCAAUUCAUAUUCCCAGGAGUAAGGGAUCUCAUACCGGUCUAGGUUUCAGAAAAGAGAAGAGUAAUCUAGCUACUACUCAUCAACCUCGAAGGAUCGUAGAGUCCAAUAAAAUCAACUCUACGAACCAACUAGGAAGGUACAGUAGAAGUAAGAUAUACUCCUCACAAAUCAUGAAACAAGAGAACACAUGGAAGAGGGAAUAUCAGCCUAGCAAGAGGAUGACCAAUAACCCACAAAAGUCCAAAUGGAGGAAGAACUUUCACACACACACAAACAUGCAUCAUAUCAAAUGUUUUGUGUGCUACAGAGUUAGCCACAAGGCUGCAAAAUGUCAUUAUAAUUCCAUGCAUGUGAGACCCAAAAUCAAGCAGAUUUGGGUCCCCAAGGGUACUAACAUAAUAGGACCCAUGCAAGUAUGGGUACCAAAAUGAAGGUUUAAUGUUACCUCAGGAAAAGAGCUCCAUAAACACAACUUGGUAUCUGGACAGUGGAUGUUCAAGGCACAUGACUGGAAACAAAGCCCUUAUGUCUAAAUAUAUAGAGAAUGAGGGUCCCUCGGUUAUCUUUGGAGACAACAGCUCUGGAAAAAUAAGAGGAUAUGGGUCAAGUGGAAAUGGUGUAGUAUCCUUCAGUAGAGUGGCCUAUGUGGAAGGACUACAACACAAUCUUCUAAGCAUUAGCCAACUCUGUGACAAGGGUCAUCAAGUAACAUUCCUCAACAAUCAAUGUCAAGUCCGAGACCUGAAGACAUCUGCUGUGAAGCUAACCGGAACAAGAGAUGGAAAUGUCUACACAAUAAAUCUUGGACAACUAAGCUCAGACGAGACAAUAUGCUUUCUGGCUAAAGCAUCUGAAGAAAUGAGCUGGCUAUGGCAUCGAAGAUUAUCUCAUCUCAACUUCAAAAGCAUGUCCAAAUUAGCUUCAAAAGAUCUAGUUGCUUGCCUACCCAAGUUCAACUUCGUUAAAGAAAGGCCGUGCAAUGCCUGUCAACUUGGGAAAUAGACCAGAAGCACAUUCAAGAGAAAAACUGCCAAUUCAAUUGACAAGCCUCUGCAGUUGCCACACAUGGAUCUUUUUGGGCCAAUUCCAACGACGAGCCUUGGAGGAAAGAGAUAUUCUCUGGUCGUAGUCGAUGACUUCACCAGAUUUACAUGGGUGUUCUUUCUAACCUCAAAAGAUUAGACAAGUUCCCAGCUGAUCAAGAUGUUCAAGCUGGUGAUGAAUGAGAAAGGAGAGAAAAUCAAGGCUAUAAGGAGUGAUCAUGGUAGAGAAUCCGACUUCUCAGAAAUAGACCAGUUCUACACAGACAAUGGCAUUAGUCACAACUUCUCAGCUCCACGAACUCCUCAACAAAAUGGAGUUGCUGAGAGAAAGAAUAGGACAUUAAUAGAGGCUGGAAGGACUUUACUAGCAGCAACCCAUCUGCCUAAGUACUUCUGGGCAGAAGCUGUCAACACUACAUGAUAUACUCAGAACAGAUCACUCAUACACUCUACGAUUAAGAAGACUCCUUAUGAACUGUGGAAAGGAAGAAAACCAAGUGUCAGCUACUUUCAUGUUUUCGAUUGUGCAUGCUACAUUCUCAACAAUGGAAAAUAGUACUUGAUAAAGUUUCAACCAAAAUCAGAUGAAGGAAUCUUUCUUGGAUACACCACAGACAGUAAGGCCUACAGAGUGUUCAACAAGAAGACACUGAGUGUUGAAGUCUCGAUUCACAUCAUCUUUGAUGAAACGGACUUAGACAAAACAAUGCCUCAAAACACUAUGACCAACAGUUCAGACACUACGAACGAGGUCGUCGAGCUCAACACUACGAUCGCAGUACCAGAUAGUGAAAUCGUUGAGCAAGGAAAUGAGAUCGUAGAGAGGCUUAUGCCAGAUAACGAGCCUCCACACCAAGAAGAAGAAAUGGAUCUUGAAGAUCUAAGACAAGAAGGCAUAAAAACAGCUGUUCCAACAGGAAGUAAAUAGGCAAGAGAUCAUACUCAAGAUCUAAUCAUUGGAGAUCCGAGUGCAAGAGUCAAAACAAGAGCUGCUACCCAAAAUGAAUGCUUUUAUCUAAGCUUCCUAUCACAAAUGGAACCAAAGAAGAUAGAGGAUGCUAUAGAAGACUCCAGCUGGAUAGAGGCCAUGCAAGAAGAACUUAAUCAGUUCAAAAGAAGCAAAGUAUAGAGACUGGUCUCAAGACCAAAGAAUCAUCCUAUUAUUGGAACCAAGUGGGUCUUCAGAAACAAGAUGGAUGAAGAUGGAGUCAUCACUAGGAAUAAGGCAAGACUAGUGGCCAAGGGCUACUCUUAGGAAGAAAGCAUUGACUACGAUGAGACAUUUGCACUUGUUGCCAGACUAGAAGCCAUCAGAAUAUUCCUUGCCUUUGCUGUUCACAUGAAAUUCAAGGUCUUUCAGAUGGAUGUCAAAAGUGCAUUCCUGAAUGGUGAACUUCAAGAAGAAGUCUAUGUAGAAUAACCUCCAGGUUUCAUCAAUCCAUCUCUUUCUAAUUAUGUCUUUAGAUUAGACAAAGCCUUAUAUGGUUUUAAACAAGCACCUAGAGCAUGGUAUGAAAAACUAACUAACUUUCUUAUUGAAAAUGGGUUCACUAGAGGUAGAGUAGAUACCACACUAUUUCUUAGAAAGCAUCAAGAUAAAGUCCUACUUGUUCAAAUAUAUGUUGAUGAUAUUAUCUUUGGAUCUACUGAUGAAAAGUUAUGCAAGAGAUUCUCCAAGCUUAUGCAGAGCAAGUUUGAAAUGAGCAUGAUGGGUGAGCUGAACUUCUUCUUUGGACUACAAGUAAAGCAAACUGAUGAAGGAAUCUUCAUAAACUAAGCCAAGUAUAUUAAAGACUUACUUAAGAAGUAUGGCAUGGAAUCAGCCUCUCCCAUGAAAACCCCAAUUGCUCCUACAACCAAGCUUGAUAAAGAUGAAAAGGUAAAAGUAUUGAUAUAACUCAAUACAGAGGUAUGAUAGGCUCUCUUUUAUAUCUUACUACCAGUAGACUAGAUAUAAUGUUUGCAACAUGCAUUUGUGCAAGAUUUCAAGCUAGUCCUAAAGAAUCACAUUUAACUGCUGUAAAGAGAAUUUUCAGGUAUCUCAAGGGUACACCUCACUUGGGACAUUGGUAUCCCAAGGAGUCCUCAUUUGAACUAACAGGAUACACAGAUGCUGAUUUUGCAGGCUACAAACUAGAUAAAAAGAGUACCAGUGGCACCUGUCAAUUUCUAGGUAAUAGACCUGUGUCCUGGUUUAGCAAGAAGCAAAAUUCAGUAUCUACUUCAACUACAGAAGCUGAAUACAUUGCUGCAGGCAGCUGCUGUGCUCAGAUCCUAUGGAUGAAAAACCAGCUAGCAGAUUAUGGGUUUGAAUUCAAAUCCAUACCCAUUCACUGUGAUAACACAAGUGCUAUUGCAAUAACUCAUAAUCCUGUCAUGCAUUCUAGGACUAAGCAUAUAGAAAUAAGGUAUCACUUCAUCAGGGAUCAUGUGCAAAAUGGAACUAUAUCCUUACAAUAUAUCGCUACUGAAAAUCAACUUGUUGAUGUUUUUACAAAACCUCUAGAUGAAUCCAGAUUUAACAAACUGAUAAGUGAGCUAGGCAUGCUUAACUUGCAACUAUGAAAAACAUGCUCUAGUUUGUGCUAACCAUACAGAUUUAAAGGCUAUGUUUAAAAACAAAGACAUGAUCAAAGGAAGUCCACAAUCGUAGAGCCAAAGUAUCAUAAAAAACAACAAUCACAGUACAAACUCAAUGAUCGCAGUGCAGACUCAACCAUAGUAGAGUUCCAUCAACAAAACAAAGGAGCAUCCUGUGAUGAUGAAGCUCAAAACUAAGCAAUCUCUCUAAAGAGCACCUCAGGAACAAACCUAACCCUUGAUUCACUCUAUGAGGUUGGCCCUUCCUGAGUUACCUUGAACCGAGAAGAAUGCAAAGUCAAAAAGGUUCAUCACAAAGAAUAAGUCAGACUCGACGAUCGCAGUGAAGACUUGACAAUUGGAGAACAGACUCGACAAUAGCUUACCAGACUCAACGAAUGCAGAACAAACUCAACGAUGACGAGGACCACCUCAACGAUCGUAGUCCUUGCUAAGGACAUUAGCUCAGAAGAAGUUAAGGGGCAAAUCAGUACAAUCCUCCUAAGUCAGAAUUCGUAGAGCCAAGUAAAACUUGACACCUGUCCCACUAAGCAAAAUAGAAGAGGGAAAUUACAAGUACAAAUUGAAAUCGUCUUUUUGAAAUCUGAAGUUCAAAAGAUCAUCUCUCUCUUCCUCUCUCAAGCAGAAACCCUAAACCAGAAGAAAGCCCAGUCAGUCACACUUCCUGCAAGAAAAUCAAUGGCGGCUUCCAACGUCAUCUCUGGCUACAGACUUUGUUUUGAUGAGUUCAAAACAGCUGAGCCAAAAUUUCAUAAGACUCUGACAUUAUUAAGGAAGGUUGGACUCGAAGAAGCUCUGGGCACAGACACAUUGAUCUACCCAAAGCUGGUGAAAGAAUUCUACAAUAAUGGUGUAUUUGAAAAUAACACCAUCACUGCGAAAGUCAGAAACAUAGAAAUCAAACUUAAGGCUGAGGACAUCAAUCUAACCCUAGGUCUCAAACCGGAAGGGUAUCCGUCCAUAGAUGGCAUAGACUUCCAUAAGGGACUCAAAAAGAUGCAUCACAAGAAAUCCCCCUCUGUCAAAGGAUACAAGAAGAAGGAGUUUCCACAGAGGUAUGAAUUUAUAGCUGAUAUUGUUGGAAAAUGCAUAUGUUGCAAGAGCUCUGGUCAUGACUCUGUGAAUGAGGUGCAACUCAAGCUCAUGACUGCCAUAUGUUAUGAAAUACAACUUAACUAUGGGGUUCUAUUGCUUGAAUGGAUUGGGAAGUGGUUAAUCAGCUCAAAGAAGACAAAGAGCUCUCAAAAGAUGCUCUAUGGGCGAUUUAUAAGCAUCAUCUUACAGGCUGCUCUGGGUGACUUAAUUGAGGACGAUGAAGGAGAAGCCAUUAAUCCAAACCUUCGAAUGACCCAGCAACUAUUCGAGAACUAGAAAAGGAAUCCAGCUGAAAAUGUGCGAAUGAUGUCUGAAUCCAGUGGUAGAACUGGUGAAAUAAAGGAAUCAGGAGUGCCAUCAAAUAUGUCAGUUAUCAGAGAAACUGAAGAAGAAGAAGAAGAAGAAGCUAACAAAGAAGAGCCCAUUGCUUUGGUCAAAAAAAGCAAUGGCAAAAGAAAGCUGAAAGGCAGAACUAUAGAAGAGCCUCAGGGAUCCACUACCGAUAAGCCUAUAGAGUCCUCAGACAUUGAGACUCUAAGGAUCCUAAGAAGGAAGGAACAGUAGGCUGAGGUAGAAGAAGAUAGAGCUACCAUCUCUCAGCUACUGAAGAAGAAUAAAAUCAACCACAAAUCAAAAAGGCCAUCCAUCUCUUCGAUCGUAGAGUCUCUACCAAUCGUAGAGACCAGACCAAAUACAUCUAGCAAGGAAGUAGCUGCAUCAAACGUUCUGGCUGAUCAGAAAGACAAAACUGAAGUUCAAGAAAGUCCUAAGGCUGUGGCUCAGCCCAGAAAACCCAGAAGAAAACUGGUCAAGAAAUAUAUUCUUGUCAAUGAAGAAGUACUAAAAAGAGAAGACAAAGAAUUGACUGCUAAAAGGGAACCAACAAAUGAAAGCCAAGAAGUCAAAGCUCAAACUGAGGGGAGACACCUGAAGCCCUAAUAAUAGAGAAUACACCUACUGAGGGGGAGAUGCCUGAAGCUCCCAUCCUAGAAAGUGCUCCAGUUAAGGGGGAGCUACUGAUCUUACAAGAAAAUGAUCAAGUUGAGGGGGAGGCUCAUGACAUCUCCAUGGCAGAAGAAGAGGUUCCUGUAGGAAAUGAAGAAGAACCAGUGCAAAAACGUCAUGAAACCAUUGAUAUAAUGGAAUCCUCCAACGAAAACAGAGAAGAGGAUGAAGGUGACGAGGUCGAGAUCAUAGCUGUGGGCAUUGAUGGGUACAGAAGAGCCAACUAUGAGCAAAUGUUUUCAUAUCUACCCAUGAUGCCUUUCCAUUAAGCCCAAAUUCUAAACUCUUGGAAUCACAUGUUUUGGAGCUUCAAAGAGUAUCCGGCCAGUGCUAGCUAAUGGAUUCCCAGGAAGAUUCAACUUUGCUAAGAAGCUACUCAUAAACAACUCUUCCUCAAAGAAUGCACCUAAGUUACUGUCUAUCCCAACCCUCUUCAGAGUUAAUCACUUGCCAUCAUCCUCAUUCAGUCAAUUUUAUGAACUCCCACAAUGGUUGGAAGUAACUCUACAUCCACUAAAUCAAUUUCUAGUUGCAGAAUCCCAAAAUUCUGCAACUGAUGAACCAAAUCUGACCAAGUCUAUACUACUCCCACCUUCCAUCAUCUCUACGAUCACUGACUCUAGCCCAAUUAUAGAGUCUCAACCUCAAAUUGUAGAGCCACCGAACCUAAACAUCCAAACACAGGUCCCUCCAACAGAUAUUCCCUCCUCAUCCAGCAACGAAUACUUCAAUCUUGAUCUUGCCCUCUAUUCAUUGCAAGAUAAAUUCAAGAACACACCACCUCCUUCACAAAUUCCCCAACUGAAUGAAAUUCUUUCAGAGUUGUCCACAAAGGCUGAUUUGUCAGCUAUGUCUGUGAAAGUGAUAAAGGAACUCGAUGAGAGUCUUGAAGAUCACACUGCACUUAUUCAGAUAAGGUUAACAUCAUUGAUCAAUGCUGCAAAUAACUUCCCAAGCUCCCUAAGCUCUGAGCUCACUAAAACGCUUAAAGAGAUCAUCAAAGAAAUGCUUCAAAGCAUAAAAGACAGGGAUGACAUCCACUUCCUCGCAGCUAAAAAGCAUCGGGAUGAUGUCUUCCUCUUACACAAGACUCAAGAAUCUCAGAACGAUCUAAUGAUAAAAAGCAUCAUAAGUCUCCAAACCGCAGUAAAGGAAUUUCAAGACUUCUCUAUAGGUCAAAUGUAGCAGACUGAAACUGUCCUGAACAUCCUUCAACUGCGUGAAACUCGAUCUAAUGCUUUAAUCCAAGAAAAUCACAAGGACAAUGCUCAAACUCAAGGUCAACUCAACGAGCUUGUCCAAGGAGUAACUCGUCUCUCCGAAGACAUUCGAACCCUUGAUGCUGACAUAAAGGGGGAGAAUAAAGGGAAAGGAGAUCAAGGAGGCAAAGGAAAAGGCAGAGGUCAAUUCCAACCUCAAUCCUCAAGGAAUCCUCCUGCAAGGCAAGUCCACCAGCAGACUCCAAGAUCAGAUGUUAUGCUAUGUAAUGCAGUUCUAAGAUCAUCAAUAUCUACAUUAGGAGAGUUGAAGUCAAAUACCUCAUCGAUACUUACUUCAUGUAUGUUGGAGUUCUGUUUGUCCCUUGCAUUUUUGGCCAUCAGGCAAAGAUUUGCCAUUUGAGGAUCUUCAUCAUCUCCAGAUUCCGGAGUUGAGUCAUUAUCUGAGUCACUCCACGAUCCUCCAACUACAAGGCAUUUAUCUUUCUUCAGUGGCCUUUUGUUUCCUUUGUAUUCCUUCUUUGCAUGUGAUUUCUUCUUGAGUUCUUCUCUAAGAGGUUUGUUGCAGUUGGCAAUGAAGUGGCCAGGUUUCUUGAAAUUGUAGCAUAGGUCAUUCAUUUGCUCCUAGCUGCUGUAGUUGCUGACUUUCUUUGGCUUGCUGGUUUUGCCUUAUCGCAUGAACCUUCUUAGUCUUUUCACUAGCAUUGCAAAGUCCUCAUCAUCAUCUUCAUCGUAGUCAGAAUCAACUUUAGUGUUGACUUUGGAGGUGUUUUCAGUUACUUUGAGAGCAACACAUUUGUCCUUCUUUCUUCCUUCGGACAACUUUUCUGCUCGUUGUGUCAGUUCCAGUUCGUAUGUAAGGAGGUUGCCAUAUAACUGUUGAACAGUCAUUUCAUGUAGAUUCUUUGACUCUCUAAUGGCAGUGGUUUUGGCAUCCCACUUGCUUGAUAAGGCUCUCAUAAAUUUUAUGAUUAGAUCUUUGUUUGGAUAGAUCUUUCCAUAGGCUCGCAGGAAGUUGAGCAGAAUAUUAAAUCUCUCGUAUGUGGCAGUGACGUUCUCUCCUUGAACGUGAGCAAACAUCUCAUAUUGCUGAGUCAAGAGAGAUUGUUUGUUUUCUCUGACUUCUUCUGUUCCUUCAUGCAUGAUAAGUAAUGCUUCCCAAACCUUCUUUGCUGUUUUGCAGUUAACCACGUUUUCAAACAGAUCAUCUUCUAGGGAUUGAAAUAAGAUGUUCUUGGCCUUUUUAUCAAGCUGGACAACUCUCUUCUCGUUUUCUGUCCAUUCUUCUUUGACCUUGAUCUGUAUUCUGUUUGGGUCGUCUGUAGUUGGUGCAAGCUUUGUAGGAAUGUAGGGCCCAUUUUGAAUAGUUUCAAAUAGAUCUUCAUCUAUUGAAUUCAUAUAAGCUUGCAUCCUAACCUUCCAGUUAGCGAAUUUGUCUUUAUUGCACAUAGGUGGCUUGCUGCCUCCUCCAGUCUUUGAUUCGCUUGGUAAGUGUGCCAUUGGAUCUACUCAAGCUUUGUAGGCUAUAUAAUAGAACUUGCUCUGAUACCAAUUGUUAGUUCCCAGAGGCACAAUAGUUAUCUAGAAGGGGGGUUGAAUAGAUAUUAAAAACUUUUCUUUGUAUUAAGUCCAUUUUGAUAAAGAUCUUAAGCACAUCGGAAUUAUGGUUUCUUUGAAAUCCCCUUUAGAUAGUGAGUUAAUGAAAGUGAGGCAGUUAUGACAGUUAUAGCAGUUAUGGUAAGAAUAAAAUAGACACAGUUGUUUUUAAGUGGUUCAGAGCACUUAAGCCUCCUAGUCCACUCUUCUACUCCUCGAGUAGGAAAUCCACUAAGGAUGUCUUUUACACUUUCUAAAUCUCACAGAUUCCUUCUAGACCAGCAGUCUAGGCACUUCUUAGUUCACUCUUGAACUCUUCAAGUCAAGCAGACUUGGUUCUUCACAGUUCACUUAGAACUCUUUAAGUCCUUCAGACUUGGAACUCUUACUUCAGUUGAUUAGUUAUUGUUGAGAUCGUGAUUGAGGCUACUCAGUUGCAGUUAAGCACUUGUUCAAAAGAACUGAGUAGCUGAGCAAGCUUCCUCUUUUUCUCUGAUCGUAGAGUUGAGCGUUGAGUGUUCUUGUGCAUUUUGUUCAAUGCUUGCUUACACUCUCAUCUUUCUAUGUUCUGUAUAUAUGUGAUCUUUGAAAUCUAUUCGUUGAAGUCAUUUGAUGAGGCAUUAAAUGUGUUUGACAUUUCUGAGCUUUGAUGGAGACUUUUCUGCACAUCUUCUGAAUUGUAGUCUGGCCCACUGACACAGCAGACUGCUUUCUCACCUAACACCUGAAAAGGUGUUUUUCUCUGUACAAUGGUCCUUUUCUUAGCUUCUUGAAUACGUUCCUUUUGAUGAAUACUAAGGAUAUAUUUUGUACCGUUGGGACUGGUGAGUGCUUCAACGUUCAAAACCCAUUCCACAUUUGUUGAAAUUUGUCUCCAAACAAAAGAUAGGGCUCAAUGCUUCUGACACAAGACAGAUGAUACUCUACGAUUCAUAUCGUGGUGUCUUGACAUAUUUGUGCUUGGUCUGAAUAGAACACUAUGAUUUCUUUCAAGGGUUUUCACACUACGAUCUUUGCACACUACGAUCUUUACUUGCUCAUCUUGCAGACUCUACGUUACCGAGAGCACACUACGAUCUCUGAGUUAGCUUCGACAAAUGUCUGGACCACUCUACGAUUUCAGAAGAGGUCCUUCAAGGCAGAUACACUACGAUCUUUUAAACUCUACGAUCCUGCCUUGGCUUCUGCAAUCUGUUGAUCAGCUUGAUAGACUACGAUUCUUGUUGAAGCCUAUCUAUACUUUUCAAGUCAUAGAUCAACCUAACAUCUUUGAUCUCUUUAUCUAUACAUUCGUUUAUAGAAAGAUGAACACCAAAAGCUAAGAUCAACCUAACAAAUAUUAUCUAUCACUGAGUCCUUGUACACAUAUUCCUUUAAGGACUUUACAUAUAAUCAUGAGCAUUUAUUUUAAACAUCAAAUCAAGAUAUGCAUUCUUCCAACAUCAUCAAUUUUUUAAUACCCCAUAUUUAACCCCUUGACCAUCUUCUUCACUUCGUAAUAAUUCGUGGAAAGAGUAUGAUCCUUGGGUAAGAACUGUCCAAUUAGAGCAAGCAAAUUGUUGAAACCUCUCUCACUACAGUCCUGCUCAUUCUUGAAGUGUAAGAGCUGAGUUACUGCAGAAAGUUUGGUGUGCUUUACAUAUCUCGGAUACAACGAGACCCCCAAUUCAGAUAGCAACUUGUAACAGGCAACAACUGUAUCAUUUGGCACUUGCUGAGCACUUCUUGAAGAAUGCUCAUUUUCAGCCUAGUCAAUAUUGGUAGGGUCAUAAGCAUCAACCAACAUCUCCAUGACAUCAUAGUUCUCGACGUAUGAAUCCCAUUGAAUUGGUUAUUCUAUAGUACUGUUGAUCACUUAUCUCAACUCAGUUAAUUCCCCGUGAUGAGUCCAUACAAAGUAUCCAUCCACAAAGCCACUGGAAAAUAAGUCAAAUUUAAUCUCGUCGUCUUUCUUCCAUAUCAGGUUUUUACACUUGACACACGGGCAUCACAUCUUUUUGUUCGGAUCAUCAUCGUGUUCUAUUGCUUUGUUCAAGAAAUUAGACACCCCAUCACGAUAAGUUGAGACUAAUCCCCUCCCAUCACUGGGUAUCUUAUGGUACAUCCAACUUCGGUCGGCUGACAUCUUUAACUACACAGAAGACGCAUUCAGUACAGGGAUAUAUAUUAAUACAUGAAUUAUAUUUACCUAGUAUCUCCACUUUACAGGACAGGGGUAAGGCUUCUAUCCCGUUCUUGGAUGUGUCUCGUCAUUAGUUCCAACACGUUGAGUACGUUUUAUAAGUUUUAAGAAAAUUUUGGCAGCACCUCCCCAUGGUCUCCAAGCACACGAAAUAGACUAAAAUAACUUAAUCUAAAUAUGCACUCGAAGAACAUGUAGAGAUAACAGCCAAAAAAUCCUUAAAACAACAAAAAUGUAUCGUUUCGUAUUGCACCGGCCUAAGUGAGAGACAUAACAUCCAGUAGCAGUCCCAAACAGGGGACUGUUCGACAUUCACUCAUACUGAGUGAAUGUCAAACGGGUUUUUAAGUUCGAAAGUAUAGUACAUAUAUUAUUGAGUGUAUUGAAAAUUAAAGAGAGAGUAUUAUUGAGUUUAUUAAAAAUUGUGACAAACUAGGCAAAUGCUACUUAGUUUAUUUUUCCAAUGAAAAACUAAGUAAGUGCUACUUAGUUUAUGAGAAUUGUUAUUUGGAAUAUAUGGAAACUACUAUUCGACAUUUACUCAUACUUGUUAAACGGGUUUCUAAGUUUCAUAUAUAUAGUCCGGGUUUUUUUUUGUUUUUUUAAAACAACUAAAAAAAAUUAUGGAACUAGAAUUUUUACAUAAUACAGUGUUUUGGGUGUGAUUUGGAUACAUAUAACAAAACAUGUAUGUACAGACUGUACAAACAUGUUUUGUUAUAUGUAUUCAAAUCACACCCAAACACUGUAUUAUGUAAAAAUUCCACUUCCAUAAAAUAUUAAACUUUUUUUUUAGUUGUUUUAAAAAAAAAGCAAAAAAAAAAGGUCCGUAUUUUAUAAAGUCCGGGAUCCCUGACUGGAUCCUGACUCUCUCCCUCUCUCUCUCUCUCUCUCUCUCUCUCUCUAUAUAUAUAUAUAUAUAUAUAUAUAUAUAUAUAUAUAUAUAUAGUAUAUAUAUAAGUUUAUUGAAUAUUGCGGUAAACUAAGCAAAUGCUACGUAAUUUAUUUUGCCAAUGAAAAACUAAGUAAGUGCUACUUAAUUUACUCUUUUUUUUGCUAAAUUUUGUUUGUAUAUAAAUAAGUAAAAAGCUAAAGAUAUUACAGAGGAGAUCAUAACAUAACCCUCUUCUCCCGAGAGGAUUAAAGCACCUAGAGACUAGGAAAAAACAAUUGCCUAACCUAAUAUUAAUCGCCCUCACAGCCCGAGGUUAAGCAAAAGACAACAGAAACUAAAACAUUUAGCUACAAAAGAAACCCCACGUGUGGCAUCAAAAUACAAUAAACAUUUGGUCAUUAUACCCCACGUGGGAGGCUGUAGGUUGGCAUCAGCAAUUCAAAAAACAAAUAUGAGAAAAGUAGGCCCCCAUUGCGCUGCCCAAGACCUGCAGAAACACUGCCCCAGCUUGACCCACCGAUGUAGACCGGCGGCUGUCAGAAAAUAGUCCAGAACAGCAACGAGCAAGGAUUGAUAGAAAUCAAAAUGACAGCAACCAAGUACCAUCAAAAAUGAAACAGAAGCAAAAUCUGAACAUUAACAAUAGAAAGAAUCAAAGCAUGAUAUCCAGAUCUGUAACACAUAUAGUCAUAGGCCAAUUCCAAACUCAGAUUCAAACCAAAUCAGAAAUAAAUAAGGACAAUCUGAAAGAUUGGAAACACAACCCAAGAGUUCAAACCAAAUCUGAGCAUGAAAAAAGCAAUUAUAGAAUAAAAACCCAUGAAACUCAGAUUGGAAGCACACGGAUAACAAGCUCAAAGGACAUGGCUGCAUAGAACCACCGAAAAAUAGGUCAGAACCCAGAUGUCGGUGAAACCAGAGCCAAGGACCAUAACCAGCCGAGCCCAGAUACGAAAAAGAUCCAUCGUCCAAGGCCACCAGUAGAGAUCCAUCAAGAUCCAGAACCUCCAAACCAAAAACCCCAAAGAUCCACCACUUCAGAUCAUAACUCCCCUUCCAGCACACCCUAAGAAACAACCCUCUAUUAAUCGCCCAAGAAGACCCACGAUCUAGCAACCCUCGGACUUGGUAUAGCUCAAAUCGAAAAGAGGAUGUUCAAGAUGGUCCACGGUACAGCCGCCGAGAAGGCUGCAACAGUACCUAGGCAGUUUUAAAGAGGUGAACGGAGGAAGAGGAAUGGAUGGUGGGCCAAAGAGAGAGGGAGGGAGGAAGGAGGAGGUGGGUGGGUUGGAUGGAGAUUAGAGGCAGAUAUGGAAAAUGGACAAACCACCAUAAACCAACCAACAAACUACUACCCUCUUGGCAUAGUAAACCUAAAUCAACCCAAAGCCAUCCAGAUCAGAUCUUAGAGAACGAGUGGGCCACAAGAAGGGGGUGAAUGGGAUGAAAAUGAGAGAAGACAGUAGAAUGCAGGAUGAGGUGGGAAGAGAGAGGGGGUGUCCUAGAGAGAAUGAGGAGCUUCUCUCUCUACCCUGCUUGGAACCCUGAUCAAGUGACUGGCAUUUAUUUUAUUGAAAGCUUCCUACUU
rnacentral:lncRNA from 1 species